AAAUUUGCGGUCUGUUGGUCAAAUACUAUGGAAAUAUUUCUUGGAUUCAAAGGACGUUCAAUAGAGUGUCACGAUUCAACUCUCUAGUUAGUUUUCGAGAUUAUGAGGCACGCAAAUGUACUUUUUUGCACGGAUGGGUUUUUGAGUUUAACCUCUAGUUAAAUCUACACUCGAAUAUCUUUGUCCCAGUUGUCAAACGAAAUUUCACCAAGUUCAGCAAUUGCGAGGGCGAAGGUCGGAGUUUUGGCCUCGUUGAAUGCCUGUGCUUCAAAAGCCGAAGACAAACUGCUCGCUUGGUUCUUCAGGCUUCGACCGGUCUUGGCACGACAAUUUGCUCAGUCUCCACGCCUGGUCUGUCCUUAAUACAUUUGAAAGGAUAUAUUGUUUUUUAGUACUUUACCAAGUGGAUUGAUUUUAUUUGUUUAGAAAUGCGAGUGUUUCAGUUGAUUGUGAGGACCGCCCCGAUCAUGUUCAACGCCGCCAUUUAGUUCUGAAAACCUGUUGAGCUCAGUUGAGCCGCAUUUCUCUGGCAAAAUAAAUCUGAUGCUUGCUGCUAUUUUCAUUUCCUGUAUUCUUUAAACUUAAACUCGCUACAAGUUAUUCCCAAAUAUUUAUUUUCAUAAUGCCUGACAAUUUUGAGUGAGCAACAUGCAACUUAKCCCUUCACGCCUUCAAAAGUAAACAGGAUUUCAAAGUAACUGAACAAGAUUUGAGUGCAGAAAUCUUAGUUCACUGAAAAACUUGGAUUAUGUAUGAGGUUGGAUUUUGCGCAGAAUUUACUUCAAAGCACCAUUUAGUCCGUUAAAAGCAAAUGAUAUAUAUCUAGCUUAAUUGCCUAUGUAACUAAAGUGUUUUUGUUGUAGGUGGUUGAUACAUAUAAUAUAGUGGAUGGAAUCAAAAUGUUUUCGAUCGAACGAAAACUUGUGACGAUCGAUGCUGCGCGAUAGACGCAUUCCGAUCUUUAUUGCCAACAUAUAAGCCAAAGACUAGCUUGAAAAUGAUAUUACAAAUUAAGAAACUGCUCAGACUUGAGUGCUGUACAAUAUCAUUUAGUAUAUUUGCCAAAUCUCGUCGUAUCAGGAAAGCUAGGUGUCAAUAAUCAUGUGCAAAAACAGAAA